ACAGAGAGAGGGAAAGAAUCCCUGGCGGGUUCCAUACUGUCAGCCUGGAGCCCUCCAUGGGGUUCAAUCCCCCAACCCUGGGAUCAUGACCCGAGCAGAAAUCAAGAGCCAGACGCUCAACCAAAUGGGCCACCCAGGUGCCCCUAUUCCACUUCUUUUUAAAAAAUAAGUUGAGAUAGCUAGUAACUGUAAACUGUAAACAAAUAAACAAACUGUAAACAAAUGCUAAAUGAUUGUUGGAGGUCCCAAGAGGAUGACCAUUGGUUGACCAGCAAGCUGGAUGCAGGCAAUCAGAGACACCUCACCCUCUCCCCUGUCCUUGGAAUGUACAUUCUGCCCAUCAUUCCCACAGAGAAAGCUGUUUCCAGGGACACAGCCUUGAGACAGUAAUGUGUUAUUAAGACCAUCUGGACUGCGUACAUGAUUGAACUCCCUUAAGGCCUUUGUAGAAACUCAAGAUUCUCUGCUGAUGGGUGUGGAGAUCUACUCAUCCUGCAGCAAUACAAGACAAACCUCAUAGUUCAGCCAGAUGGCAUGCCCCAGGUGUGAAGUUUCAAGCAUGAUUCUAUUCAAAUGUCAAAGGUUCCAGAACAAACUCCGCAUACCAGCCACACUGUCUUUGCUCCAGACCUGAAUUCUCUAGGGGGAGCUUGGAUUCCAUCUAGCAAAGUUCAUAAGCAACCCUCCAUCAAACAGAAGUAGGGAUCUCACUGAAUCUCUUUCUACUUUUCAAAAGAAUGUGUGAUAAUAUUCUCCUUUGAAGAAGAGCUUCUGGGUUGCUUUGUGCUGUAUUCUGCCAACACAGAAUAGGUCUGUGCAGAAUGCCUAGCCUUGACCCAGAGCUAUAAGCAUCUCUGUGCUGGAAGCCGAGCUAUCCCAGCCUGAGUGGCAGGGCCCGGGCUGUGGACGGAUUGGUGACUGCAGGGCCGCCACCGACAGUGAAGCUUCUUGUAC